UCGAGAACAAGAUAUGAUUUUAGUAGUCUCUUUGUCUACAAUGUCAGAUAAGGUAUAGCAAAUCAACAGCUGAGACGUCAUUUCAUCGCCAUUUCUCUCAAUUGAUGAUUUGAUUGUUGCUCGGCCACAU